GAUCCUGGCUCAGGAUAAACGCUGGCGGCGUGCCUAAUACAUGCAAGUCGAACGAAGAGAGCUAGCUUGCUAGAGCUCUUAGUGGCGAACGGGUGAGUAAUACAUAAGCAACCUACCUGCAGGGGCCGGGAUAACGCUUGGAAACGAGUGCUAAAACCGGAUAGGUAAUAACGGGGCAUCCCGAUAUUAUUAAAGGAGAGAAACACAAGCAGAUGGGCUUAUGGUGCAUUAGUUAGUUGGUGAGGUAACGG
rnacentral:rRNA from 1 species